rnacentral:lncRNA from 1 species
AUGAAUAAAGGAAUAUGUCAUUCCUGUGACGCACUUAGUCGGAAUAGAAUUUUCUGGCCUUUCGACUAUAGGCUGCUCAGUUCCACGGCGCCCUGAUCAUGAAAAAAAUUGGUAUUUCUCUUAUCCUGGGUCCCUGUUUUUUGGUUCUGCAGAACCAAAUCAUGGUAACCCAGUUUCAAGAAAACCAAGAGACUUCUGUAACAACUCUUCGCUAUCAAAUGGUUCAACGGUCAUAAUAUGCCUUUUCC